rnacentral:lncRNA from 1 species
GAAUGUUUUAAUAUUAUUAAUCAUUUGGUUCCUUGACAUCGCGAUGGUAAAAGGAAAUUUCCCGAACUCAAACUAUGUCAUUGCUAAACUAUCAUUUUGAAACUAUCAAUCCAUUCGCUGUACAUUGUAUGUACGUAUUUGAAUAUAUGGAUGGUGAAUAGGUGAUUAUAAUUAAUAUUGUAUGAAACCUUUUUAUAUAUAAUAAGAACGUGAAUGUGAUAUCCUGUAACUUUAUCUAUAGCCUUUGAAGAUUGUCAAUGUGUUAAGGAUAGUUGCAGACCUCCAAUAUUUUUGACCC